rnacentral:rRNA from 1 species
UACGUAGGGGGCGAGCGUUGCCCGGAUUUAUUGGGCGUAAAGGGCGCGUAGGCGGCCACGCACGUCCGUUGUGAAAUCGCCCGGCUCAACUGGGCGGGGUCAGCGGAUACGGUGUGGCUCGAGCAAGCUAGGGGGCAAUGGGAAUUCCCGGUGUAGUGGUGGAAUGCGUAGAGUAUCGGGAGGAACACCAGUGGCGAAGGCGGUUGCCUGGAGCUUUGCUGACGCUGAGGCGCG